rnacentral:rRNA from 1 species
AGGGUUUGAUCCUGGCUCAGGAUGAACGCUAGCUACAGGCUUAACACAUGCAAGUCGUGGGGCAGCAUGGGGGUGGCUUGCCACCCCUGAUGGCGACCGGCGCACGGGUGAGUAACGCGUAUCCAACCUGCCCCCCGCCCGGGGAUAGCCUUCUGAAAGGAAGUUUAAUACCCGGCAGCUCUGGUGUCCCGCAUGGGACUUCGGGGAUAGGUUUCGGCCGGCGGGGGAUGGGGAUGCGUUCCAUUAGCUUGUUGGCGGGGUAACGGCCCACCAAGGCGACGAUGGAUAGGGGUUCUGAGAGGAAGGCCCCCCACAUUGGGACUGAGACACGGCCCAA